rnacentral:rRNA from 1 species
UAGGCGAAGCGUGCUGUUGGAGUGCACGUCCAAGCAGUAAGACUGAGUGUUAGGCAAAUCCGGCACUCAUUAAGGUCAAGCUGUGAUGGGGAGAGGAAACAUGUUUUCCUCGAGUCGUUGAUUUCACACUGCCGAGAAAAGCCUCUAGCUAGAAGAUUGGUGCCCGUACCGCAAACCGACACAGGUAGUCAAGAUGAGAAUUCUAAGGUGAGCGAGCGAACUCUCGUUAAGGAACUCGGCAAAAUGACCCCGUAACUUCGGGAGAAGGGGUGCUCUUUGAGGUUCACGCUUCGAAGAGCCGCAGUGAAUAGGCCCAAGCGACUGUUUAUCAAAAACACAGGUCUCUGCUAAACCGUAAGGUGACGUAUAGGGGCUGACGCCUGCCCGGUGCUGGAAGGUUAAGAGGAGUGGUUAGCAUUAGCGAAGCUACGAAUCGAAGCCCCAGUAAACGGCGGCCGUAACUAUAACGGUCCUAAGGUAGCGAAAUUCCUUGUCGGGUAAGUUCCGACCCGCACGAAAGGCGUAACGAUUUGGGCACUGUCUCAACGAGAGACUCGGUGAAAUCAUAGUACCGGUGAAGAUGCCGGUUACCCGCGACAGGACGGAAAGACCCCGUGGAGCUUUACUGUAGCCUGAUAUUGAAAUUCGGUACAGUUUGUACAGGAUAGGUAGGAGCCUUAGAAACGUGAGCGCUAGCUUACGUGGAGGCAUUGGUGGGAUACUACCCUAAUUGUAUUGGAUUUCUAACCCGCAACUCUUAUCGAGUUGGGAGACAGUGUCAGGCGGGCAGUUUGACUGGGGCGGUCGCCUCCUAAAGUGUAACGGAGGCGCUCAAAGGUUCCCUCAGAAUGGUUGGAAAUCAUUCAUAGAGUGUAAAGGCAUAAGGGAGCUUGACUGCGAGACCUACAAGUCGAGCAGGGUCGAAAGACGGACUUAGUGAUCCGGUGGUUCCGCAUGGAAGGGCCAUCGCUCAACGGAUAAAAGCUACCCCGGGGAUAACAGGCUUAUCUCCCCCAAGAGUUCACAUCGACGGGGAGGUUUGGCACCUCGAUGUCGGCUCAUCGCAUCCUGGGGCUGUAGUCGGUCCCAAGGGUUGGGCUGUUCGCCCAUUAAAGCGGUACGCGAGCUGGGUUCAGAACGUCGUG